UGUUUAUUUGUGUGUAACUAAUUCAGUUCUUUGACUUCUUGUCAUGUUAAAUAAAAUAGAUGACACUGCUAUCACCUUUUUAAAAAAAUGUAUUAUUGAUUUUCAUGUGUUACAGUUAGCAGUUGAGCGAGCAGAAGAUUUGAAGCGCAAAGCAGCAGAAGCAGCGGAAUCUGUACCUAAAUUACGAGCUGUUUCCCAACCAGCCAUUGAGAGCUUUCCACUCUGGGGUGGGGAAGUACAUUAACCCGCAGACCCUUAACAGCAAAGAAAAAUUGGUAACAUCGUCAGAGCCCGUAGCAAAGAAGAAAAAAGAUGUUGGAUACCAGUUCAGUAAUUUUAGCUCAUGGUGAAAUCUUUUGUUUAUGUAUAUAAAUAUUGAUUGUAAUUUUGUAAAUAUACCAUAUUUGUUACA